UCAAAAUCGAAUCACAUGCUCAACCAACUGAGCCACCCAGGUGCCCCCCAAAAAUGUCCUUUAUAAUUUUAAAUAAAAUGUGAUAUGUAUCUAAUUGACUGAGUAUAUUUCAUAUAGAUACUGAUCAAUUGUGUGAUUUCUUCAACAUGCCAAGGGAGAGAAAAAAACAUUCCCAAAAUGAAGGGGCUGUAUCCCUCUUUGGUCCCCAUCCACAUUCUCUUCCCAAAACAUCGGGGCAAAUUGGGGGUGGCAAUUAAAGAGAUCCCAAACCUCUUUCCUUCCUCAACUUUACCCUCAAAAGGAAGAAGUAAACUAAUUUUAGAUCACUGCUCCUUCUGGUAUGUCUUGGGGGUCUUUAUUACAUAGCUUCUCCAUCUUAAAGGGUUUCCAUUACCUAUAAGAAUAAUAAUCCUCAUAUACCCUUUGAUCACAGAGCCCCAGAUGCAGGAAUCUCUUUUAUCAUAAUAAAAGCAACUGUGCAAAGAAUAUGUAAAUAAAAUCCUCAUUUAAAUAUUAUUAAAAGUGGCAAAAUCUGGAAAUAACCUAUAUGACCAAGAACAGGGGAAAAAAUGGUGGUGCAUUUCUAUCAUGAAAUAUUAUGGAACUGUGAAAAAGGUGUCAGAUAUUAUCUACAGACUCAGAGGGUUCUUUCUCCAUAAUGUAUUAAAUUAUUUUUUGUAAUAUACGUAUAGUAAUUCCCUUCUUACAAAAACAAACUGCAACCCCAAACCUAUCAUGUGAAACAUGUCAGCGCAUGUUUACAUGACCAUGGAGAAUGGUGGAAGGAUCCACACCAAACUACCAUCCCCUCUCACAUAGGUGGAAAAACGUAGUUAGGUUGUCUUCAGCUGCAAGUGCUAGAGAUCUCAAUUCAAAUUUAUCCUGAACCCGAGAAAAGAGAAUGGAAUAGAAAUCUAUUCUAGAAACCUGGUAGUGCUGGGGUGAUUUGGAGGUCAGUAUCUCUCCGGCUCUGUUCUCUGAUUGCUUUGGCUGCUCUCUUUGAAAGUUUUGGGCACUGCUUUUGUAAUUCUUUGUCUCCUGUCCACAUGCCUAUGUGACUGUCUAACUUCAUCACUUAAACAGGGGAAGUUUGGAGAGUGAAAGAUGUUGCUAUGAAUACUCAUUGCCGGACAACAGGAUGCUCCCAGGGAGACUGGGGUCUAUGGCCAACUUCAUAUGUCACAACACGCAAGGGAGGAGAGAGAUGGCAUUUUCUGCUGACUUUACCUGAAAGGAAAAACCAGUUUCUCAGAAGCCCUAAGUGAAGCCCUUCCCGAGAUUCACUGGCUUGAGUUGGGUAAUGUCGCCAUAAUGAUCCAAAUCCUCUGGGAAUGCCAAAUGCUGAUUGUGUUUUUGAGCUCUUCAGUCAGUACAUAGAUAAAUUACCUUAGACCAGCGAUUUUCAAAGUGCAGUUAGGGGACCUCUAGGGGCCCCUGAGACCCAUUUUUCAUAAAAAUGAAUUAUUUUUGUUAACAUAUAAUGGGUUUAUCAUUGCUCUUUUAAAAGGGUUAACAAAUAUGUAUUUCUUCAUUUCUGUUUUAGUUUCUAAAAUGGUAAUUAUCAACAGAUAUGACCCAGAUGAACAAAAACUCUUUGGAAAUGCAUUAAUUUGAGGCAUGUACAGAGGAUCCUGAGACUGCAUGUUUGGAACCCCUUCCGUAGACUCCAGGGGCUGGUUUUCUCUUGGGCAGGUAGACUACAUGAAGGGGCAGUGUGGAGCCACAUAAAAUCAGUGUCCCGUCGGAGACGGGUCAGCGGGAAUGCACGUGGGGUAGGCAGUCGGCACGGAGAAUGGCCGUAAGGCAGAAAUGGAGGGUGAAAUCAGGGCAGUUUAUCAACAUUUCCUUUCUUGUUAAAUUGUUCCAAAGGAUCAUGUGCUACUUCUGUAGUUUGGGAAAAUGUACUUCAUUAAAAUAGUUAAAAAUAAUAAUGCUGAGUGAUUUUCAGUUGUCACAGCAAAAUUAAGUUGAACUUAAUCUUCAACCAUGACUAAGACCUCUUCCAUAGCAAGGAUGAAGCAAAAAAACAAAAAAACCCAAGAGAAUUAACUGGAUUAUUAUAUUGCACCCCAAAUCCUUAUCCUAGGCAUUUCAAUAUAAUUUGGGUCAAGACUACCGUUAUUCCUACACGGUAAUGAUAAUAUUUACUAUAGAUUUAAAGUGAAUUUUGCUUUCAAGUCUAAGUUGGAAAACCCAGAAAUUUGGCUAGGUUCUUUCAUCAAGAUAAAUAGUACAGUUUAUUUCUAGUAUUGUGUAAUAGUGCUAGUUGAAUAUUGCUUAUUUAAAAUUAACAGAAAUAUUAUUUUAUUUUUAUCAUGUUAAAUGAAGGUUUCCAUCUGACACUUCCCUAUUUCUAGUCUGAUUUUGAGAAUAAAGUGUGGCAUAUGUGCCAGGAAAUCUGGAAGAAAAGGUAAUUAGAAACUGUUGAAUGUUUUUUUCCCCGUCGUUUAAGGUUGGAAAUCGAGUUUUGUCAAAUGCGCCUCUUCAUCGUUGAUUAAGAUAUUUUUUCUCCUAUAUUCCAUACUAUUGAAUCAUUCUUGCUUUCCCAGUUUGAAUCCUACUUCACUAUUGUGUAAUGUAGCUUAAAUACACUGCUAAACUCUUUGUUAAUAUUUUAUCUAUGUGAUUUUUACACAUAUUUUCAAAAGUGCAGUUAUUCUAUAGUUUGAUCUUCAGUAUGUAUUUUUGUCAGAUUUAGUUUCAAUGUUAUACUUUAAAAAAGCAUUCAGGAAGUUUACUUUCUCUGUUCUCAAAUGUGUGUGUGUGUGUGUGUGUGUGUGUGUGUGUGUGUGUAUAAAGUAUACACACGCAUACAUUUAUACAUAUUAUAUUGUAUAUAUUAUUCCGUAUGUACUUAUAUGGAAUAAGAGGGUUUAUUUGUUUGCAAACCUAUCAUAUAGAACUUAACCACAUGUCAGACACCAUUCCAGGCAUUAUACAAAUUCCAGGUCAUUUAAUACUCGUAGCAACAUUAUGAGGCAGGCUGCUACUAUUAUUCUUAUUUUAUAGAUGAGAAAUGGAGGCACAGGGGUAGUUAAGGGACUUGCCCAAGAGAACACAGUUUAUGGCAGAAUUAGGCAGGCUUUGACUCCAGAUGGUCUGAUCCCAGAGUCCAGGCUCUGACAUAAUUUGAACCUUUGCCUCCUUUUUGUGGUUAGAUUUUAAAUGUCUCCAAUGAUCGCCAUGAUUCCCUUCCCUGGACGGAAAGAAUCCAUUCGUCUAGUGUGCCAAAUGAAUGGCUGUGAGUUUCACCAAGCAAGCUGACUGAAGACCGUCAGCAAGUAUCUACUGAGCAUCUCUGUGGCUCAGACCCCAAUUUGGAUGAGGAAGAAGGUCGACGGGACCAGAAUUCCUGCAGAGGGGAUGUGAGAAGAAGGAAGAACGCAAGGGUGGCUCCAAGAUUCACAGCUUCGGCGGCUGGAGGACUGACUGCAGGAGCGCUUCCUAAGUGACCGAGGCCAGAAGAGCAGCAGGCGUGAGAGAAAGGUCCCAGAUGUGAUUUUAGCUUCGUUAAUUCUGAGAUGCUGCGUUAGUUUUCUAUUACUGCUGUAACAGGUUGCCACAAACCUAGCAGCUUAACACACACACAUAUGUAUUAUCUUACAGCUCUGUAGGUUAAAAGGCGACACGGGUCUCACUGGGCUAAAAGCAGGCGUGUGGGCAGGACCACGUUCCUUCUGGGCGCUCCAGAGGAAUCUGUUUCCUUGACUUUUCCAGCCUCUAGAGGUUGCCCACGUUCCUUGGCUCGGGGCCCCUUCCUCCCACCCCAGAGCCAGCCGACAGGGGCAAAGUCCUUCUUGUAGGGCACCUCCCUGACUUUUCUGUCUCUUCUGCUUAGAAGGACCCUUGUGAUUACAUUGGACCCUCUGCCUCCCGACGAUCCAGGGGGAUCUGCCUGUGUAAGUUCGGCUGAUAAGCAACUUAGUUCCAUAUACAAUCUUCAUUCCCUUUGCCAUGUAAGGUAACAUGGGCACUUAUUCUGGAAAUUAGGGUGUGGACAUUUGGUGGUGAGCAUUAUUCUUCCUACCAUAGAUGCCUAUUUGAAAACUGAAUGGAGCUACAAUACAGUCAUAGAUGCCUUUUAUCUUAUAUAUCUUUAUAUCCUAAAAGAAAUAUUUUAACAAGCAAGAUUGGAGUUGACUCUUUUAAUAAAAAUGCAGAAUUACCAAAUCAGCUCUUUUUGUAUAAAUUUCAAUUGUAAAGCAUUUAGAAUUAAAACAACUUGCUUAAUAACUAUUAUACUCUUACAGAUGUUUACACUAAUGGAUACAAGUGUAUUGGUCAUCAGUUUUGGGCUCAUUGUUCACCUAAUUAAGCUUUUUUAAAAAGGCACUUUUGAGGAAAAAAUUAUUUUGAAGCCUCUAAAUAAAGCCUUUAAUUCUUUGGAGUCAUAAAAUGGAAAGAAGUACCAUGUUAUUUUUUUUAAUUGCUGUUUACCAACAAAUAUAUAUAAGUUAAUCAUGAAAAGGACACCAGAAAAUGGCUUUAUCCUUAUUAAAUAUCAAUUAGUAAUAUUUUGAUUGCAUUCUUUGUUAUAUAUGUUUGUAUAUAACAUAUACAAUAUGUAUAUAUGUAAUAUUUAUAUACAUGUAUGUACAAUAUGUAUACAUAACAUAUACAAACAUAUAAUGUAUAUAAUAUAUAUACACAUAUAUAAAGACAUGGAUAUUUAUAAACAUUGACACAUUCACAUGUAUGCAUUUACUGAAUGUACAGUUUUAAGCCUGCUUGAUUAAUAUAUUAAGCACCAUUUCAUGUCACAUGCUUGAUGCCAUCAUUUUUAACGGUAUUAUAGUAUCCACUUCUCAUUAUUGGAUAUUUAGAUUGCUAAUUUUACUUUGAAUAUCAUUGACAUAAGCAAACUUGUAUUGAAAUCAUUGCAUAUAUCCAUCCUGUGAUUGAUUCUCGGCAUAAACCUCUCAAAGAAAAAUUGUCAGGACAAAGGAUAUUCACAUUUUUUAAGGUUUCCAAUAUGAAAUGAAAAUCAUGUUAGUCUUUGAAACCAGUGCUCUGUCAAUUGUUUGUUACCAUCAACUUAUACAGAAGUUUUGAUUAAGGACAUAGACUUUGAAUCUCAAAUUGUGAAAAUUAUUGGUAUAUCAGGACUUAUUAUUCGCAUUCUAAGGGAGGGUUCGGGGAUUCCUUUUCCCUUACUGUCAACAAAUGUGAAGCACUAUUAUCAUAUUUACAUUGAGAAGAAAUAUUGCCACUUAUUUUCCUUUGCUUUUGUUCUAAGUAACAAAAAACAAAAUACAGGAAAUAGUAAUAUUAAUAAAAAUCGUAAUUAUGUUACUGCGAUUACUAUUAGUAGGCAGUGUGCUAAGUGACUGUGUUUAUUUAAUCCUCACAAUAAAGCUAUGGUUUACAUAGCUUUCAUUUUACAAGGCAUAGAAAAACCAAGGCAUAGAAAAGCCGUACCUCAGGCCACCUGAUGAGGAAGUAGCAAAGCCAGGAUUCAAAUUAAGUCUGUGCAAUACCAGAGUCCCAUCUCCUAAAGCAAAAUCCUAUACUCCCUUGAUCUCCCCCAGCUAGGAGCAAGGGUAGCAGUGGUAGUAAUAGUAUUAUCAUCAUUCAUUCAUUCAUUCAUUCAUUCAAAAGAUUACUGAGUGCCUAAUAUGUGCCAGUCUCUGCCAGCUACUUGGAGAUUGCAGUGAACGUAGCAAACAGAGCCACUAACCUCACCCUGCUUACGGUCUGUUAGGGAGGGCAAUUAUUUAGGUGGUAGUUACCCUACCCUAGAGUACACAGAGUGUUAUACUGGGGGGAUUCCAGGCUGCCACACAACUGUGUGUUCUCUGCCCUUCUAGUACUUUCUAUUCACCUUUAUUGACCUCAAUACAUUGAAAGGCAAAUAUUUGUGUAUGUGCUGGCUUCGCCCCUUAGACAUCGGGCUCCUUGAGAACUGGCAUGUUAUUUACUUUCAUGUCCCUAGAAACGAACGUAUUUCCAGAGAACAUAGUAGGUGCCUAAUAAAUGUUUUUUGAAUGAUGGAUUAUUAUAGCUUGUCUCUAAUUAAGGUAAGCAAUUUCUGUGUCACUCUUCUGUUACUCUCAAUGAUAUAUUAUUUUUAAAUGAGAAUGUUAAUUAUGUGAUUUAUGCUAAUCAACCUAAUUUCUCAGAAUUAAGAAUAAUGUAGUUCAUUCACUAUCUCAUUCAACAAAUGCUUUCUUCACUUACCACAUACAAAUAUAUUAGUUUGUAUAUUGCAGGAAGGACGGAAAUAAAUUAGGUGCUGAGCUCACAUUCAGGAUUUUGAAUCUAAUAGAAAAGAUGAAAAAAGAAAGAAAAACAUGAACCUUCUUCGUCUUGCUGAUGCCCCGGUUUUGCUGGUGGGUGAGCCUUUGCUUACUUACUCUGUGUAAAGGAUCCAGCCCUUUGUCCGGAAUGUUUCCUGUAUGCGUCCUGCCAGUCAGCGGGCCGGGCUGUCGCUGUCAGACUGUGUGUCUACAGCAGACUCCUGGAGAAACAGCAUGCUUAUGUCACGAGCCACGUCUGUCAUGGCAGGAUCCAUGUUUCUCCUCAGGCUAAUCACAUCUGAUGCAGGCACCAGGGCUCCCCCCCUUAAAAGCAAGGAUACCAGCUUGGGAAGAGGUGCCUUAAAGAUCAAAACCGGGUCUGCGGCAGUGACAUGCGGGUUUGUGAAUCGGGAAUGGCAGCGUCAAAUCUCUCCUGAAGCGAGGAGACAGCCGUUGGCCGGCAGAAACGGAGCACGGGGCGUUGCUGGCUCCAAUUAGGGAGACACGAUUUGCAGCGGCCAUGUUCACGGGAGGUGUUCCGUGAAGUCCUGUACAGAACGCUAGAAGAAUCAUCGAGGAAGGAACAGGUGACGUGUGAGAUACAAGCAGGUCUGUAUCUCACACGAGACGAGAGCAGAAAAGAGUUGCCUCUUCCCACCUUUCACUUUGAGGAGAGAUGGUUUUGCUCUGGACGGGCUGGGUGGUUUUUGUUUCUAUUAGGGAUAACAAGGGAGCAGGAGCUAAGAACUGAGAUUCAAACCUGGUAAGAUGAUGAUGGUGAUAAUAAUAAUAAUAAUAAUAAUAAUAAUAAUAAUAAUAAUCACUAUGUUCAUUUAGGGACCUUAAAAUAAUUAUUGUUUAGAGGCUCAAUAAUAACAAAAUAGUAACAUAUUACUUAACAUUUAUUGGUACUUAUUAUGUGCUAGUCAGUCUCUCUUAAUCCAUUUAAUCCUCAUUAAAAACCAUGCUAGAACUUUUCGCUACUUAAUUAUUCCUUGACAUAUUGAACGCCUAUUUAGCCCGCACUCUGUGACACACGGUUCUAGCUAUUUCUCACAACACCAAGAGGCAGGUGCGGUCAUCCUCUUGCAGACACUCAGAGAGGGUAAGUGGUUUCCCAAAGCCAUCCGGCUAGUGGCUGGCAGGAGCUUCGAAUUCAUAUCUAGCUCAUAAUUUUUCCUUCAUCCCGGACUACCUCUCAACCCACGCCCCCCACCCCCCAACCCGAUGUUUCAGCGUGUAUCAGUACAGGAGCCCUUGGGGAAGUCCCCAAGCUCACUGUCCCCUCAUUUGUGUCAUUAUCCUUUGUGCUGAGAAGUUAAAUGGGAGAUGACAUCAAAUUCCUCAGAUGAUACAUAAGUACAUUCCAGUUGAAUCGUGCCCGGUGUGUUUCUCUUUAUACUGGAACCUCAAUAAUAGAGUAAUCCAGUCAUUCGUUUUCAUCAGGAUUUAAGUAACAUAUAGUCCACAACUACAUGUGUGGUGAACGUAGUAUAGUGUUGUCAAAUCAAAAUGUUGUACACUUGAAACUAGCGUAACACUGUAUGUCUGUACUUCACUUUUAUAGACAUACAUAUAUACAUACAUCUGUACACACACAUACACAGAUACACACACACACAGCUAGAUAUAAAAAUAGCACUAAGAAUCAUGGCUUUGGAUCUGUUCGUGUUUCCCUACAGCACAAGCUUUCCCUGCCUGUGGUGUCAACAAACAUCUUCCUAUCUAAGGGCUGAGGAAUGGAAGGUACAGAUAACCUAACAGGAACCAUACUUAGGGAGUCUUGAACAGCCCCUAUGUUACAGUCAUUUCCUUUAUGUCACUGGGGAAAUUCAAAAUAGAAGUUCACUGUGAUUUCAGAUAUUCAUCACGGAUGUGCUUAUAGAAAAACCUAUCUGGUGUAGUAAAAUUAGGAUGAUACAAUCUUUCUGAUCAUUUCAUGCCUGUCACUGAAAUGUAUUUUGUGGAAAGUCUGAUGAAAUCAGCCACAACUUUUUUAAAGAAACGAUCCCAUCUAUGGUUUAGACUAUGUAUGUUUAGACAUGUGUAACAGUGAAAGUGAAUUAGAAAGUACUUGGUAAACUUUAUUGUUUUCUCCCAUAACUAUAAGCAAACUAAAUUCAAUGACCUCUUUUACUAAACUCUUCCAGAAUUCUAUUGGUUUCGUAUUUACAUCCAUUCUUCUUUCAUUAAAUAAAUGAAUGUAUAAUCACGA